rnacentral:rRNA from 1 species
UACAGAGGUCCCAAGCGUUGUUCGGAUUCAUUGGGCGUAAAGGGUGCGUAGGCGGCGCGGUAAGUCGGGUGUGAAAUCUCGGGGCUUAACUCCGAAACUGCAUUCGAUACUGCCGUGCUUGAGGACUGGAGAGGAGACUGGAAUUCAUGGUGUAGCAGUGAAAUGCGUAGAGAUCAUGAGGAAGACCAGUGGCGAAGGCGGGUCUCUGGACAGUUCCUGACACUGAGGCACGAAGGCCAGGGGAGCAAACGGG